rnacentral:rRNA from 1 species
UACGUAGGGGGCAAGCGUUGUCCGGAUUUAUUGGGCGUAAAGAGCUCGUAGGCGGCUUGUCACGUCGGGUGUGAAAGCCCGGGGCUUAACCCCGGGUCUGCAUUCGAUACGGGCUAGCUAGAGUGUGGUAGGGGAGAUCGGAAUUCCUGGUGUAGCGGUGAAAUGCGCAGAUAUCAGGAGGAACACCGGUGGCGAAGGCGGAUCUCUGGGCCAUUACUGACGCUGAGGAGCGAAAGCGUGGGGAGCGAACAGGA